rnacentral:rRNA from 1 species
GCACAUUGCGCCCGCCAGUAUUCUGGCGGGCAUGCCUGUUCGAGCGUCAUUUCAACCCUCAAGACCCCUGUGGACUUGGUGUUGGGGACCGGCGGCGCCUCUCUGGUGUCACCGCCCCCUAAAUGAAUUGGCGGCCUCGUCGCGGCCCUCCUCUGCGUAGUAGCACACACCUCGCAACAGGAGCCCGACGGCGGCCACUGCCGUAA